UAUGAAGAACGUAGCGAAAUGCGAUACUUGGUGUGAAUUGCAGAAUCCCGUGAACCAUCGAGUCUUUGAACGCAAGUUGCGCCCGAAGCCAUUAGGCCGAGGGCACGCCUGCCUGGGCGUCACACGUCGUUGCCCCCCCAUCUACUCCUUCGGGAUUGCGGGGGGCGGAUGAUGGCCUCCCGUGCGCCUCGUCGCGCGGUUGGCAUAAAUGCCAAGUCCUCGGCGACGCACGCCACGACAAUCGGUGGUUGCGAAACCUCGGUUGCCCGUCGUGUGCGGUCGUCGCGCAUCGAGGGCUCGAAAAAAUUGUCGGGCUCCGGCUCGGCUUUCAACGCGACCCCAGGUCAGGCGGGGUUACCCGCUGAAUUUAAGCAUAUCAAUAAGCGGAGGA
rnacentral:misc_RNA from 1 species